UACAGAGGGGGCAAGCGUUGUUCGGAAUUACUGGGCGUAAAGGGCGCGUAGGCGGCCUUCUAAGUCGAACGUGAAAUCCCCGGGCUCAACCCGGGAACUGCGUCCGAUACUGGAAGGCUUGAAUCCGGGAGAGGUGAGUGGAAUUCCGAGUGUAGAGGUGAAAUUCGUAGAUAUUCGGAAGAACACCAGUGGCGAAGGCGGCUCACUGGACCGGUAUUGACGCUGAGGCGCGAAAGCCAGGGGAGCAAACGGG
rnacentral:rRNA from 1 species